UACAGAGGUGGCAAGCGUUGUUCGGAAUUACUGGGCGUAAAGGGCGCGUAGGCGGCCCACUAAGUCAGACGUGAAAUCCCCCGGCUUAACCUGGGAACUGCGUCUGAUACUGGAGGGCUUGAGUAUGGGAGAGGGAUGUAGAAUUCCAGGUGUAGCGGUGAAAUGCGUAGAUAUCUGGAGGAAUACCGGUGGCGAAGGCGGCAUCCUGGACCAUUACUGACGCUGAGGCGCGAAAGCCAGGGGAGCGAACGGG
rnacentral:rRNA from 1 species